rnacentral:rRNA from 1 species
GGAAACCGAGUCUUAAUAGGGCGCCUUAGUUGCUGGGAGUAGACCCGAAACCAGGCGAUCUAUCCAUGGCCAGGGUGAAGGUUCGGUAACACGGACUGGAGGCCCGAACCCACCUAUGUUGAAAAAUGGGGGGAUGAGCUGUGGAUCGGAGUGAAAGGCUAAUCAAGCCUGGAGAUAGCUGGUUCUCCGCGAAAUCUAUUUAGGUAGAGCGUCAUAUAUCACCAUAGGGGGUAGAGCACUGUCUCGGCUAGGGGGCCAUCCCGGUUUACCAAACCGAUGCAAACUCCGAAUACCUAUGAGUGUAAUUAUGGCAGACACACGGCGGGUGCUAACGUCCGUCGUGGAAAGGGAAACAACCCAGACCGCCAGCUAAGGUCCCUAAGUUACAGUUAAGUGGGAAACGAUGUGGGAAGGCAUAGACAGCUAGGAGGUUGGCUUAGAAGCAGCCACCCUUUAAAGAAAGCGUAAUAGCUCACUAGUCGAGUCGGCCCGCGCGGAAGAUUUAACGGGGCUCAAACUGUACACCGAAGCUGCGGGUGCACGUUUACGUGCGCGGUAGC